rnacentral:lncRNA from 1 species
AACAAAGUCAGCUAUAUCUCUUUACAUCUCGUUCCACCAAAAUCGGAGUCGUAUAUUUUGGUACAUCUUAGUGCUUUCAGGAUGCAUGGCGAACUUUGAGCCAUGGGCCUCUGUCAUAAUGUCCCUCUUUAACUCACUGUCACUUGGAACACACACCCUGUCUUGGAAUCUGAGCAACCCAUCGGUGGAGACUCAAAAUUUUGAGUUAACUCCCUAUUCUUCAUCUUUUUUUAGGGCAGCUAGGGUGGAAUGGGUGGACUGAGCUUCCCUUAUUCUUUGAAUUAACUCAGGCUAAACAGUCAGAUGGCCCAAACAUAUGACUCUCCUCAAGUUUUAAAGUCAUACCUAUUGUGCGGCCCCUAUUUGUCUGCUUUCUGAAACCAUUAAAUGGGUUAAUGUACCUGCACUUUUCAUGCUGAGUGCGUUGACUACCACUUUGCCCUUACCCGGGUGAUACAAGAUGUCGCAAUCAUAGUCCUUGAG